CCGGAUAACGCAUAUAUGCUGGAAUGCUUUAUGCGUAAAAUGGAUUCGUCUGCCCAAGGAUGGGUCUGCGGCCUAUCAGGUAGUAGUGGGUGUAAUGUACCUACUAGCCUACAACGGGUACGGGUGGUGAGAGCAAGAGCCCGGAGAUGGAUUCUGAGACAUGAAUCCAGGCCCUACGGGGCGCAGCAGGCGCGAAAACUUUACAAUGCGGGAAACCGUGAUAAGGGGACACCGAGUGCCAGCAUCAUAUGCUGGCUGUCCAGAUGUGUAAAAUACAUCUGUUAGCAAGGGCCGGGCAAGACCGGUGCCAGCCGCCGCGGUAACACCGGCGGCCCGAGUGGUGAUCGUGAUUAUUGGGUCUAAAGGGUCCGUAGCCGGUUUGGUCAGUCCUCCGGGAAAUCUGAUGGCUCAACCAUUAGGCUUUCGGGGGAUACUGCCAGGCUUGGAACCGGGAGAGGUAAGAGGUACUACAGGGGUAGGAGUGAAAUCUUGUAAUCCCUGUGAGACCACCUGUGGCGAAGGCGUCUUACCAGAACGGGUUCGACGGUGAGGGACGAAAGCUGGGGGCACGAACCGGAUUAGAUACCCGGGUAGUCCCAGCCGUAAACGAUGCUCGCUAGGUGUCAGGCAUGGCGCGACCGUGU
rnacentral:rRNA from 1 species